UACCAGCACCCCGAGUGGUCGGGGACGAUUAUUGGGCCUAAAGCAUCCGUAGCCGGUCCUGCAAGUCUUCCGUUAAAUCCAGCUGCUCAACAGAUGGGCUGCGGGGGAUACUACAUGGCUAGGAGGCGGGGAGAGGCAAGCGGUACUUUAUGGGUAGGGGUAAAAUCCGUUGAUCCAUUGAAGACCACCAGUGGCGAAGGCGGCUUGGC
rnacentral:rRNA from 1 species